GUUUUUAUGAAUUAAUAUUUGAACAAUAUUGCAACUAUUACAACACUGUUUUUCCCUUUAUGUUUUGUACCACUUCUUUUAACAGGGAUCCUUUGUGUUGGUGUUUGGAACUCUUUUAGAUAGCAAGGUCCGUGAGUCACUGCCAGGAAAGCUGUCAUUGAGUAAACUCAGUUCCAGCCUUACCAGGAGCACAAGUGCAGGAACAUCAUCAAGAAGUAGACUAGGUUUUAUUCAAAGGAUACGGAGGAAUGUGUUUAACUUUUCUGAAGUGAAUGCUUUCUGAGCAGCUACAUCUUCAAAAAGCUCCAAUGCCUCGCUUAACUAAACCAACUAUAAACUUCAGCCAAAAGCAUUUUAUCUAGUCCAAGUAUAUGUAAAUGCC